AUUGAACGCUGGCGGCAGGCCUAACACAUGCAAGUCGAGCUGAGCGUCGGACGGUUGAGUACUGCCUAUGACUCUCCCUGGUAGUGGGUGCUAACUUCCGGACACGGGCGCUCUUACCGCAUACUCUCCUAUGACCCUAGUUCGGAUUGGAUAGUUGGUGGGGUAAAGGCCUACCAAGGAGCCGAUCCGUAACUGGUCUGAGAGGAUGAUCAGUCACAAGGGAACUAAGACACGGUCCAGACUCCUACGGGAGGCAGCAUUGGGGAAUAUUGGACAAUGGGCGAAAGCCUGAUCCAGCCAUGCCGCGUGUGUGAAGAAGGUCUUCGGAUUGUAAAGCACUUUAAGUUGGGAGGCGUUACCAAAAGAAUAAGCACCGGCUAACUUCGUGCCAGCAGCCGCGGUAAUAC
rnacentral:rRNA from 1 species